GCCACAAAACUGGACCGCAGCGGCUUGCGAGUACCCGGAUAAUAGCCAUUGAUAGACGGUGUUGCAAAGGGCAGCAGGGCUUUGACGUGGCGUGUCCGAAGUCUGACAGCGCGGAUCAUGGAGAAACGUCCCAGCACACAGAGCGGGUUUUUUACAUGCAGCCCUGAAUUUCGUUGCCUUAACGUCCUUGCAUCAUAAUCCGCGAAAGCGCCAUUCAAUUUUCUAACUGGAUGCUCUAGACCAAGCAUGAUCCGGAUGCGCAGGUGGCAGCAGCGACUUAUGGUAGCUGCACGCUCGCACCAGCUCUUGUCGCCUAAGGAAAGUUGGGGCCAGCCAGA
rnacentral:lncRNA from 1 species